ACAGAUUAAAAAAAUUUAUUUCAAAAUUCACUUUCGUUUACCUCCAAAUUCACCCAAAUAAACAGCAAAAAAAAUUACCCUCAAAUUCACUCAAUCACUCUCCCCCAAUCACCUCCUAUCACCCUCAAGUGAACACACCCUAAAAGAUCCCUCUAUUUUGAAAUGAGGCAAAAACUUGAUCUUGGAGAUAUCUGCAACACCAAUCUUGACCGUGUGCGAGUAUCUGCAGAAUGGGUACUCCUGUCCUACGACGCAUUUCGGAGUGUUUUGUGAAGCCUCACCGCUCCAACCACUUCUCCCAUCAAAUCUGUAAUUUAACACCUUGGGAUAUUGCCAUGUUGUCUGUGCACUAUAUUCAGAAGGGUCUACUCUUCAAGAAGCCUGCAAUCCUGCUUCAUCAAAACGAUUUCAUACAAAAUCUGUUGGAGAAGCUCAAGCACUCUCUUUCUCUCACCCUCUCCCAUUUCUAUCCAUUGUCCGGUCGCCUUGUCACUCACAAAACCCAAAACCCUCCCUCUUAUAUUGUUUCUGUUGAUUGCAACAGCGGUGAUGGAGCUAGAUUCAUUCAUGCAACUCUGGAUAUCACUAUAGCUGAUAUCCUCUCCCCCCUUGAUGUCCCACCACUUGUUCAAUCAUUCUUUGACCACCACAAAGCAGUUAACCAUGACGGUCACUCCAUGCCGCUGCUGUCUAUCCAAGUCACUGAACUUGUGGACGGUGUUUUCAUAGGUUGUUCCAUGAACCAUGUUAUUGGCGAUGGAACUUCUUAUUGGGAUUUCUUCAAUUCAUGGUCUCAGAUCUUUCAAGCACAAUCUCAAUCUGAAAACCUUGAAUACGAUGUUCCCAUCUCACGCCAACCAAUUCACAAUCGUUGGUUUCCAAAUAAUUGUAGACCACCGAUAUCUCUUCCUUUCAAACAUCAUGACGAGUUUAUAGAGAGAUCUGAAAAACCCCUUCUCCUGAGAGAGAGAUUUUUCCGCUUUUCAGCAGAGUCUAUUGCGAAACUGAAAGCAAAGGCCAACUCAGAAUCCAAUACCACAACAAUAUCUUCCUUCCAGUCAUUAUCAGCACUUGUUUGGAGGUCCAUAACUCGUGCGCGCUCCAUACCGUCUGACCAAAAAACAACUUGCAGAUUAGCCGCAAGCACUCGACCAAGAAUGGAGCCGCCUCUGCCUGAAGAAUACUUUGGAAACUGCCUUCAUGCAGUGAGUGCAGAAACGACAACAGGGGAAUUGGUUGAGAAUGAUCUAGGAUGGGCGGCAUGGAAGUUGCAUGUGGCUGUUAAAAACCUCAACGAUAGAGUGGUGUUGCAGUAUCUCCGAGAGUGGUUAGAUUCUCCUGUGAUAUAUCAAAUGGGUCGUUUCUUUGAACCAUAUUGUGUGAUGAUGGGUAGCUCCCCGAGGUUCAAUAUGUAUGGGAGUGAAUUUGGAAUGGGGAAAGCGGUGGCUACUAGAAGUGGCUAUGCAAAUAAAUUUGAUGGGAAAGUGUCAUCAUACCCAGGCCGUGAAGGAGGAGGAAGCAUUGAUUUGGAAGUUUGCCUUUUCUCACAUACAAUGAGUGCCUUGGAAUCAGACAAGGAAUUCAUGGAUGCAGUUUCUGACUUCAACCCCCUGCUGUUCUAGUUUGCUACAUGUAGUGAUACAAGGACAUCUUUUAAUUAAUGUAAUAUGGAUUGAAUUUUAUUAAUAGAGAGAAGUUAUUAUUGAAAACAUCUGUUAAAUUUAUCUCUUGUUUUCACCAAACAUAAAAGUGUAAAUAGAACAAUACUUGAUAUAAGAUCGUAAAGGAGAGAUGAAUAGAACCAACGUAGAUAUGGCAGAGAAAGAGCACCGAAACAGACAGAAUCCAAAUUCUAGAGAGAAUCCAACAGAGUCACGAGAAGAAGUUUUUAGCACAACUUGCAAAAAAU
rnacentral:lncRNA from 1 species